rnacentral:sRNA from 1 species
GCUGGGUGCAGUGGCACAUGCCUGUAAUCCCAGCAACUUGGGAGGCUGAGGUGGGAGGAUCGUGAGUUCAAAGCCAGCCUCAGCAAAAGCGAGUUGCUAAGCAACUUAGUGAGACCCUGUUUCUC